GGAGCCUGAGAUCCCUGGAAGCCUCACCUCCUUACUAUUGGCCGGGGCGGAGGAAGCCCGCCUUCCGGCUGGAGAGCGCAGAGACCACGUUGCCAGAAGACUGGGGGUCUGUGCAGGGCCCCUGCGCUCUCCCCUCCCCUAAUAGGGAACGCGGGGCGGGGCCUGGGGCAGCUGAUCCAGGGUCCCAGCGAGCGAGGGUCCCUGAGGUGCCUGCACCCCCAGGCCAGGUGUAGGACCUACUGGGCGCCCUGCCCCGAGGGAGGGUGCGCGUUCACAUCCUUGUUCAUAUCCUCGCGGGCAGACUUCAGGCGGGAACAAGGCUCUGACUCUGAUUUCCUCUCUAAGGGACCUGGUCCAUCAGAGAAGGCAGGUGUCAGGCCCGCCCGCCGUGCUUCCUGACGCAGCACAAAGAAGGGGAAGCUUGCAUCAUUAAGUUACAGGCUAUGGCAGAUGGCUUGCGGUGUGUAGAGGAGGACGAUGGACAAGGAAUCGACGAGAGAAAAGAGCAGCGCGCAUCCUGGUUCAGCAACUCCAAGUUGCCAUUAAAAGUGUAUAAUUUAACCAGACUCUAUCCUUAAAAAUCCAUGCUCAAUUAAAAGCUGUUUCCAGUCAA